UACAGAGGUCUCAAGCGUUGUUCGGAUUUAUUGGGCGUAAAGGGCGCGUAGGCGGCGGGGUAAGUCGGGUGUGAAAUCUCAGGGCUCAACCCUGAAACUGCACUUGAUGCUGCUCUGCUUGAGGACUGGAGAGGAGACUGGAAUUCACGGUGUAGCAGUGAAAUGCGUAGAUAUCGUGAGGAAGACCAGUGGCGAAGGCGGGUCUCUGGACAGUUCCUGACGCUGAGGCGCGAAGGCCAGGGGAGCAAACGGG
rnacentral:rRNA from 1 species